AAGUCGUAACAAGGUUUCCGUAGGUGACCUGUCUGAAAGCGUCAGGGAUCAAUGUUCAGGGUGGCGCAGUCAACGAUCGCUGUAGGUCCACACGACCGGCGACCGGGGUGGAGGCGAAAGCCCCUACGUCAUCCCUAUGUACCCUCCGGGACUUGGCGAAAGCUGACUCCGUCAUAAAUCGAACAACUGUUAACAAUGGAUAUCUUGGUUCUC
rnacentral:misc_RNA from 1 species